rnacentral:lncRNA from 1 species
AUAACAACCAGUUGACCAGUCAACACAGGGCAAAACCUCCAAGCCUGGAGCCACACCAAUCCUGAGCCUAGACUGGGCUUGGCUAUGGAACCAAUGUUGACUUCCAAAUAGUCGCCCUCUUGCCUUGGCGUCCCAAGUGCUGGAGAGACAGGCCGAGGCUGCACUUCCAAAUUUCUCCUCCACUUAGCACCCAUCACUGGGCUGGUGUCUGCGGUUCUGACAGGUGAGACGCUGGCCCGCGGUCUCCCGGGUAACCACAUUUACUUCAACUGGAGGCUCCGCCCUCUCUGGCUGGCUUCUCUUUUUCAUCACGUGAUCGCGCAGGCUUGUGCAAGAUGGGGCUUGACUGUCUUCCUCUUGCAACACAGUCAUGUACGAAGUCCAAGUUUCCCUGGCCUGACUCUGACAGGUCCCCGGAGGAAGGUGACACUGGGCGGAACCUCCGGGCCUGGAAGGACGCGAGCUCCGGAGGGCUCUGCCCAAAAGCUUGCCAGCAGCGGCGAGACCAGUAGCCUGGAGGGGUCAAGCUGGAGUUGGAAGUGGAGUUCCGUGGGUUUGGGGCCGCGGCUGCCGCACAGCGGCUCCUCCAGGCCGAGACCCCGGCGCAGAAUGGACAGAAGGCGGCGACCUCCCGGAGGAGUGGCCGGGCCAGGAGCGUGCUGCGCUGCUUCUCCACCGCGGUCCUGUAUGCCGCCUUCCUGGGGCUGCUCUUCCAUGAGGACUCUUGGAGGGCAGAGCUUUUGUGAGGAUCCUGGAGCUCCAGACAGCCAUCCAAGCUGACCCCGAGCCAGAGGUCCAAGGCUGAUCCUCCUGCCUCAGCCUCCUGAUUACUUAGGACUACACAUGUGGCUAUUGGUACUAGGGAUGAAUACUGACCCACUACCAGAGGCCCCAUUGAUUGUCCAGACCUCCAAACUGACAUCCUCAUUCAGGGGGUCUGAAACAGUCCUAUGUUGGUUUCCCAGCUAUCAAAAGUUUAAAACAUUUGAUCAACAUAAAAUUGCAGAUCAUAGUGAAAAAUAGUUUUUUAUUUAACCAAAGUGGUAUUCAUGGCCAAUCUAAAUUUUUAAAAAAUCUCAUAAAUGUGUACUAGGCUUAGAUCUGUUAGUAGAGAGGACUUUUUUUUUACAUUUUUUAUUAAUUAAUUUUUUAUGUUCCAAUCCCGGUUCCCCCUCCCUCCUUCCUACCAACUCCCUCCAUUCUCCCCUCCUCCUGUCUACUGCACAGAGAAGGUGAGGCCUCCCAUAGAAGUCUAUAAGUCUGUCCCAUCAUCUCAUUGAGGCAGUACCAAGGCAUCUCCCCAACCCCACACCCCUGUGUCUAGGGUGAGCAAAGUAUCUCUCCAUAUAGAAUGGGCUCCACUAAGUCAGUUUGUGUAUUAGUGUUAGAUCCUGGACCCACUGCCAGUGGCCUCAUAUACUGUCCCAGUCAUGCCUAUUGUCACCUAUAUACAGGGAGUCUAGUUUGGUCUUAUGCAGAUCCCCCAUUUGUCAGACCUGAGUGAGUGAUCUCUCACUAGCUCAGGUCAGCUGAUUCUAUGGGUUUCCCCAUCAUGGUCUUGACUCCUUUGUUCAUAUUAUUGCUCCUCCCUCACUUUGAUUGUACUCCAGGAGCUUGGCCCAUUGGUUACUUGUGGAUUUCUGCAUCUGUUUCUGGAAGAGGGUUCAAGCUUCUCUGGGGUUGUGGAUUGUAGGCUGGGUAUCUUUUGUUUUAUGUAUCUACUUAUGAGUGAGUACAUACUAUAUUUGUCUUUCUGGUUUUGGGUUACCUCACUUAGGAUGCUUUUUCUAGUUCUGUCCAUUUGCAUGCCAAUUUUAGGAUGUCAUUGUUUCUUACCAAUGACCAGUACUCCAUUGUUUAAAUAUACCACAUUUUCUUUAUCCAUUCUUUAUCCAUUCUAGAGGGGCAUCUAGGCUGUUUUCAAGAUCUGGCUAUUACAAAUAAUGUUGCUAUGAACAUAGUUGAGCAAAUGUCCUUGUGGUGUGAAUGUGCCUCCUUCAAGUAUAUGCCCAACAGUGGUUUUGUGAGGUAUUGAGGUAGGUUGCUCCCUAAUUUUCUGAGAAAUUGCCAUAUUGAUUUCCACAGCAGCUGCACAAGUUGGCACUCCCACCAGCAGUAGAGGAGUGCUCCCCAUUCCCCACAUCCUCUCCAGCAUAAACUGUCAGUGGUGUUUUUGAUUUUAGCCAUUCUGAUCAGUGUAAGAUGGAAUCUCAGAGUGGAUUUGAUUUGCAUUUCCCUGAUGACUAAGGAUGUUGAGCAUUUCCUUAAGUCUUUCUGCCAUUUGAGAUUAUUCUGUUGAGAAUUCUCUGUUUAGAUCUGUACCCCAUAUUUUAAUUGGAUUAUUGGAUAGUUUGAUUUCUAGUUUCUUGAGUUCUUCGUAUAUUUUGGAGAUUAGUUCUCUGUCAGAUGUGGGGUUGGUGAAGAUCUUUUUCCAUUCUGUAAAGAGCCAUUUUGUCUUGUUGACCAUGUUCUUUGCUUUACAGAAGCUUCUCAGUUUCAGGAGGACCCAUUUACUAAUUGUUGCUCUCAGAGUCUGUGCUACUGGUAUUCUAUUUAGGAAAUGGUCUCCUGUACCUAUGUGUUUAAAUAUGAGUUCAAUAUGAAUGGAUUUAUAUUGAGGUCUUAGAUCCAUUUGGACUUGAGUUUUGUGCAUGGUGAUAGAUUUGGAUCUAUUUGCAUUCUUCUACAUGUUGACAGCCAGUUAUACCAGCACCAUUUGUUGAAUAUAUUUUCUUUUUUCCAUUUUACAUUUUUAGUUUCUUUGUCAAAAAUUAGGUGUUCAUAGGUGUGUAGGUUGGUAUUGAGGUCUUCGAUUUGAUUCCUUUGGUCCACCUGUCUGUUUUUACACCAAUACCAAGCUGUUUUCAUUACUAUAGCUCUAUAGUAGAGUUUGAAGUCUGGGAUGGUGAUGCCCCCAGAUUCAGUUUCUUAAGUGGUUUUAAAACCAUCAUGAGUAUAGCAUGAAACACUGGAAAUUAUGUUGGACAUUUCCUAUGACUUUUUGUUUCUUGGGCCAAUCAUCUCAAUUGUAACAAUAAUGAAACAGACCCUUCACAUUUCCCAUUGAGCACCAUCUAACACACCAGGAAACAAGAAGACCAAGUUCUACUUUUACAGUUUUCCUUAGUAUUAAUGCUCAAUUUCUAGAAAAACUUCCAAACAGUUUUCAUCUGCUGUCAGCCAGUUUGUCCACACAGAAAGUUGUUUUCACAAGUUCUUCAACGUACUUCCUGCAAUGUUCUUACUCACUCUACUUUGGCCAUAUUAUUCUUAGUUUAGAAUAAUAGUCCUACUUUAGGACAUAAAGAAAUUCAUUUUUCCUUUGAUAACGCAUCUUCACACUUUACAGUGUGUCUUCCUGUCCUGGUGACUUUUCUAUUGCCACGACCAUGACCAAGGCAGCUUAUAAAAGAGUUUAUGUGGGGCUCACAGUUUCAGAGGGCUAGAGUCCCUGACCAUCAUGGAAGGGAGAUUGGCAGCAGUCAGACAAGCAGACAGAGAGAGAGAGACAGACAGACAGACACACACACACACACACACACACACACACACACACACACACACAGAGAGAGAGAGAGAGAGAGAGAGAGAGAGAGAGAGAGAGAGAGAGAGAGAAUACCAGGAAUGGCUUGGGCUUUUAAAACCCCUAAGCCGGGGCUGGAGAGAUAGCUCAGAGGUUAAGAGCACCGACUGCUCUUCCAGAGGUCCUGAGCUAAAUUCCCAGCAACCACAACCAUCUGUUAUGAGAUCUGGGAUCUGGUGCCCUCUUCUGGUGUGCAGAUAGACAUGGA